ensembl:lncRNA
GUAGCAAGUUGAGAGAGGUGAUUCUCCCUUUCUACUCUGUUCUCAUAAGACCUCACCUGGAGACCUGCAUUCAGCUCUGGGGCCAACAGCACAAAAAAGAUGUGGAGCUGUUAGAGCAGGUCCAAAGGAGGGCCAUAGAGAUGAUCAGAAGGAUGGAGCACCUCUCCUACAGGUUGAGAGAGUUGGAGUUCAUCAGUCCAGACAGGAAAAGGCUCUGAUGAGACUUUAUAGUGUAUUUACAAUAUGUAAAGGAGGUCGACACAAAAGAUGAGGAGAGUCUCUGUCAAGGAGUGUAGUGAUAGGAGAAGUGGCAAAAAAUUUAAACAAAAAUAGGGUAGUUCUUAAUUAGAGAUUAGGAAGAAUUUAUUUACUGGGUCAGUACUGGGUCUGAAAAUCUUUAAUAUCUUCAUCAAUGACAUCAACAGUGGGGUCAAGUGCACCCUCAGCAUGUUUGCGGAUGGCAUAGAGCUUUGUGUUGCAGUCAACACAAGGGACAGGAUGCCAUUCAGAGACCUAGACAGGCUCGAACAGUAUGCUCAAGUGAACCUCAUGAGUUUCAACAAAACCAAGUGCAAGGUCUUGAACAUGGGUCAUGGCUACUCCUGCUAUCAGUACAAGAUGGGGGAUAUAAAGGUGGAGCACAGACCUGCUGAAAAGGACUUGGGGGUACUGAUGGAUGGGAAGCUGGACAUGAGCCAGCAACAUGCCCUCACAGCCCAUAAAGCCAACUGUAUUCUGGGCUGCAUCAAAAGAAGUGUGGCCUGCAGGGCAAGGGAGGUGAUCCUGCCCCUCUACAUUGCAGGGGGGUUGAACUAGAUCACCUUUAAGGGUCCCUCCCAACUCUAUGACUCUAUGAGAUAUGUCUUAUCUCUUCUCGGCAUUGAAAUGCAGCUUUGUACCUUAAAAAGUGGCAAUAUCAAGACUCAUGUUUAAUGUAAUAAAAGCAGUACCAUAUCUGUAUCCAGAACACAUAAAGUUACAGUCUUCUGGGAUUUAGAAAUUGCCUUUCACAUAACUCAAGCGACAAUCCAGGCUUCAGACCAAUGAUAUUUCAGAUCUUAAUUUUUUUUCUGGUUUGCAUUAAAAUGACACACCUUUGCAAGCCCCUUAGGGAUGCAGAACACAUACAGAGUGAAAAUGUUGGGAGUUGCAAGGUAUCCUCCUGGCAAUAAGAGCUUUAUUACAACACUUUGUGCUCUUCCAGGUUAUACACCAAUAUUACAAAAUGUUUGUCCAGAUUGAGUGUUUUUAAAGUAAAUUGCUAAUGAGAAAUAAUGAAAUGCUGAUACUUUUCCUUCCUUCCGCAAUUUCUUAUUUAAGACACCAAAAUCCCAAUAUUAACUUAUUCCCUUCAGAGUCAUAGGACAGACUCUGGCUUACUAACUUCCUGCCUAAUGGAUCCUUCUGCACAAAUUGGGCUUAUAGGGGUUUAUUCUUCCCUAGAGAGAAGAUAGCUGGAUUGUGAUUUUUGUUGUUGUUGUUGUUCUUUAUCUAUUAUUUACAUAGCAAAAUCAUUCCUGUUUUUUCUUGCUGAAAAUGUACAGUUAUUCCUGGCAACAGUAAAAGAGUUUUGUUAGUGUAAUAAUUGACCUAUUACUGUAUUUUUUUCUAAUUAUAUAUUACAGAAAUGUUCAAUGUAGUGCACAUCCAAUUUGGACUGGUAUAAUUGAUGUACUCACUAUGAUUGAGACACUACAUUAUGAAAUAAAAAUAUUUUUACACAGUUGCCCAAAUGUUGGAGAUAAUACAUAUACACUUGCAUCUGCAAAAAAUCUUUGAUUCUCCUUUCAUUUUUCCAACAUCAUGCUCAGCAUUAAAAUACAGAUAAUAUUUGUUAACAGAAAUUAAUAUAUACUUAGAAAGAAAAUGCAUUUCAGUUCAGCUUUAAGUAGACUACAUAUUACUUUGUUUAAGUAUUAAAGGAUGCCUUUAUGGAAAUUCCAUAUCAUUACUAAUCUGAAGAGUUUUUAGAUAUCACUGUUUGAAAAGCAGGCUCCAUUAGGCCCAAGGAAUUUUCUCUGCUGAUAUUUAGCUGUUAGCAAGGGUGACCUCAGUCUCUGACUAAUGUGAAUAUCAUGAUUAAUGGGGGCAUUUGGUCACAUGCCCGAGGAGAUGACAUGCUUCAGGUAAGGCUGUGUCACAAGAAAUCAUUAAACACAGAAAUCUGUCAAUCUAAUAGCUAACCACACACAGAAUCCACAACUGUAGAGAGAGUUAUUUAAAGGUAGCAGCAUUCUCCAGAGGAAGUGGAAACUUAAUUGGGCAUAGUAACAACUGUGUGAAAGAGGUAAGAAUGUAGUAAUCAUUGAAGAAGUAUACAGAAUAACGUACCACGCUUUGUUAUUCAGUAAGGAUUACACAAUGAGUGAAAGAUAGAUUCUGGGAUAAAGCCUGGUCCCCCUAAAAUCAACUGAAAUAUUCUAUUGGACUCAAAGGAGUUAAAGUUUUACCUAUAUUAGUUGAAAAUCAAGAAAUUGUUCCUUCUUUAUAAUAUCAUUCUAUUUCCAGCUUAGUUAACUAGACGCAUACAGAAACAUUUUGUGUAUUUAUAAAAGUAAUAGCAUCUACAUUUAUAUACAAAUGAAAAUAAUCUAUAUACAAAUGUAAUACUGGGAUACAAAAGUAGACAUAUUCAGUAUGGUCUUUUCAAGUAUAGGGUAAAUGUUCCGAUCAAAGUGUACUAAAAUUCACGAGGUUUUAUUACCAUAUUUGCUGGUCCAGACUCCAACUUUCUGGAAUAUUUGUAUUAAGGAUAUACAAUGAAAAUCAAAGAUUUAUCUAAGAUUCAUAACCAACAUGUAAAAAUGUGCUAGUUUAUGUAGCUGUCAGGGAAACUCAUAGCUUGGAAGUAGGAGAAGCUUAAGUGUGGAAAUCAUUAAAGACUGCUCAUUUUUAAUAGUUAUCCACCAAUUGUUUGUACAAACACUUGUUUUUUUUUUCCCUUUUGCAUUUAUAUGUAUCAUCUGAAACCAUAGCAGCACACAUCCAUAAUAUUGCAUCACAGUUGUUGACUGCAUAGUCAUAGAAGUUUUUUAAUUAUAGUUUUUUUAUUUUGAAAGAAGUGUCUUACAGGAUAUGCUGUUGCAUUUUUUUCUAAUAUGUUCCCUAUAUUUUUAAGAAAAUAUAUCUUAAGAAUAGCAUGGAAGGUUUUGAUUUUUGGUCACCAAAUUGGCAUAGUUCUUUACAUAUUUAUUAGUUUGAAAAACUUUUUUUUUUUUUUUAAUAUAAUUUCUUAGGAAGUUUCCAAGAAGAGUUUUUCAGAAAAGAAAUAGUGAUUAAGUGAUUUAGCAAAUCACAUUAAUUCUUGAAAGUGGCAGUCGUUCAUUAAAGAAAGGCAGAACGCCUUGCAGCUUCAGAACAAGGUUCUGAGAGAUGAAGAUCAUAGAUAUAAUUUCUAAAAGGGUAAUACACAUCGCCAGUACCACAGUACAUAUUGUUUCACUUAUUUAUUAACCACUUCUGCAGACAAACGCAUGGCAUACAUUUAUAUUCUCUGCAUUUUUCCCACGUUUACCCGUCUACCAGCAGAAGAGUUCUACCAGUUUCACGAAAGUUCAGGUAAAUAAGUGACUAAAUUUUGGUAAAAUAUUUGACAAUGAAAAUAUGUACAGGUAGUAAGUUAACUCUAAUCAUUAAAAUUCCGUAUAAUCAUUGGCUUUUGACAUUGUCAACACAGUAGUCAUGUUGCUAAAGUUGUACCAAGAAAAGUAGACACAGUCCAACAGUUACCAUCCCAAAAAAGAAAAUAUUUGGAUACUUUGGAGAUGUUUUGAUUAUUUUUGAUAAGAAAAUAUUUUGUUAUUAUUUUAAAUAUCUCAUUAUUUCAUUCUCUCAGGUACUUUUUCAGUUCCCAAUUUUUAAUAUUGGCCACUCGUUGCUGAGGAAUAAGCCUACAGUUGUGUGGUAAAUAAGCAGGAUUUAGACUCUUCCAGUAAACAUAAUUCUUCCAGAAGCAAUACAAACCCUUUCUAAAAUACAAACUCUAUAGCAUACUAAUUUGUCUCCACUAUUUAAUACCAGGUAUUUCAUGUGACAACAGUGAACUAUUUUUAUCCUUGCAGAUGGCUGUGAUGGUAAGUAUGUAGCCAUUCUUAAAAAAUAAAAUAAAAUGAAAUGAAAUAAAACAAAACAAAACAAAACAGUACCUUUGAUUAGAACACAUGAAAUUUCAGAGGACUCUCCCAGACAGUAACUCACAACAUCAUUGGUACCACUGAGGUCAGUGAUUUUCUGUCCAUUACCGAAUGUAACUAGAGAAAGCAAAUCCUUAUAAGUAGUACAGCAAUCUACAUCUAUGGCAUUUCUAAAGGAAAAUGAAAUAAACAAGAAAAAAAAACCUUUAGGGUUUUGAAAUUAAUGCAUCAGGUAUUUAUUGAGCAUGUGCUAUGAUAAGAAGCUCCUUGACUUCUGAAAAUAGUGUAACUGGGACAAUUCUCAUGCACUGAAAAUUAAAUAGCUUAAGAUUUGCUUCCUAGUAGUGGGCAGAAUUCUAAUGGAGUUAAGCUACAGUACAGUACAGAUGCAGUAAAGAUCAAAUCACACUCAUUGUCAAAUAAAAUUUGCACAAUUCUUUCUAGUGACAAUCUCAAAUCCUCAUAAACACAGUAAAAUAAAAGGCACACUCAGUAUGACUUUCAGACAGGAUUUCUGUUCUUUAGCUUUAAUCCCUUGUAAUGUAAUUCUCAUUCUCUCACUGUAGAUAUUUCAAUGACACAUAAUAUUAUUAGAUAAAACUACUUGCAAUUGAAAAGAUAAAAAUGCAAGAUAAAUGAAAAAAUAAAAAGGCAUUCAUUACUUUAAAAAUACAAAAAAAAUUAAAUGCGUAAUUGCAUUUAUACCAGUAUCAGUUUCUUGACUAAAUGCAACUUCUUAAUGAAGUUUAUGUUAGUCUAAAAUUAAAUGGUUUUUAAGUGUUACCUGUUGUUGUCUAAAAUGGCUUGACAUUGGCUUUUCUACCAUAGGUAUUUGCUUACUAAUUUCUUACAGGAACCCACUGAAUGAGUUACACUAAUGCCUUUCAAACUUGCUAAAAUUAAUUCCAAUCCUUAAUGUGAAUUACUACAUAUCUGGAUUAUUAGAAUUUUUUCUGAUAUUUGAUCUUUUUUUUUUAAGAAUGGCUUUUGAAUGUAGCAAUUAUCCUGUGAUCUAGAGCUAGUUACUUGGGAACAAUACAACAUCUUAUGCUGUGGACCACAGAAAGAUGUUUUCCACAAAGUAAGAACCUAACAUCCAUCCGGAUGUCUAGCUGGAAAAUAAAAGGAAAGGACCUUGAGGAAUUCCCUCAGACUACUGAAGAAAGCUGGUAAAAUAGCCAGUUAUUCAAUGCUAGGCAUAAUCUUUACAAAAGUAGCUGCUGCUAGACAGAGAACACUCCCUGAAACUGCAUGCCAGUUGAUUGCUAUUUUUGUUUAUAUUUUUGUUUAUAUUUUUCAUUUCAAAAUUUUUUCAAAAAGUAAAUGACCCAAAAAAGAAGGCAUUUGGGGAAGCUUUGGCUGUGAUUCCUGUUAAAAAUUAAUGACCAUGCCGUUUUCCCAUAUGGGGUGUUUCUACUUUGCAAGAAAAUUGCCUCCUUUUAUUUACAGGAAGAAGCAUGGCCCUGGGUUCUGUUGCACUCCCAAUUCAUAUUAAAGAAAUAGAAAGAAUUGUCUAUUAAAAAAAAAAAAAAAACACCUAAUUUUCUAAUUUUCCUUUUUUUCCCACAAGGAAAAUAUCUGUAUGAACACCUGUUGAACUGUAACUAAUGAGAUUCUUUGCCUGCCAAGGCAGUUCCUACCAUUGCAAGCUCUGAAGUACAUAGUUCCCUAACAACAUAAGGUCCAUUGGUGUUGAACUCCUAGUGACAAUUCUCAUUAAAAAUAUAUAUAUUAUAUAUAACAAAAAAACAUAUGUUUGUCACAUUAAAAAUGUCAAACAUGAUGUUAUCUGAUGAAGUUUAUGUUUUUUUUAUAAAUGUAUUUUUAUAUAUAUACAUGUAUGCCUGAACUAAUUUUUCUUAAGAAAUAAUUUUAAAUAAUAUGGGGUAAGAGAUAUUGAAUUUUUAUUAAUAAAAAAAGUCUUGACUUAGUGCCAAGUGAACUAAAUCCUAAUUUUAUAACUGCAAUUCUUUCCAAAGUAUGUCUGUAGCUGAAGAGUAUGUAAAACUAUCUACAAUUGUAAUAUUGUACUUUUAUUAGGAGUUAUAGUAAAAAAUAUGUUUCAUAGAACCGUAUUAUCAAAGGAUGUUUUGGAAUGGAAGGGAUCGUAAGGAUCAUCUUAUUCCAAUCCCCUGCCAUGGGCAGGGAUAUCUUCCACUACAGCUGGUUACCCAAAUCCCCAUCCAACCUGGCCUUGAAUGCUUCCAGGGAUGGAGUAUCCACUAAUUCCCUGGGCAGCCUGUUCUAAUGCCUCAUCCCUCUCAGACUAAAAAGCUUCCUCUUAAUAUCUAAUUUAAGUCUCCUCUUUUUUAGUUUUAAACCAUUCCCCUUUAUCCUAUCCCUGAUAAAGUCUCUUCUCAUCUUUUCUGUAGGCCCCCUUUAAGUACUGGAAGGCUGCUGUAAGGUGACUGGGGACUUCUCCAGGCUGAACUACCCCAGCUCUCUAAGCCUUUCAGUAUAGACAGCCUGUCUCUGUUCUCUCAGAAUUUUCCUCCUGGAUAUACAUCCUUCAAGCAAGUUAUCCUCUUUUCAGUUUCUGAAAGGGGUCUCAGGGGUACACAAGGCCAGCUUCCUCAUACUAUCAUAGAAUCGUAGAAUCACCAAGGUUGGAAAAGACCCACAGGAUCACCCAGUCCAACCAUAUCCUCGUGGGACAAGUGCUCCUUACCUCUGCCAUCUCAGUGGCCUCUGCUGAUGCAACUCCAGUUUGUCAAUGUCUCAAUUAAAAAUAAGUAGUGUAUUGUAGAAUCUGUAAGAAUCUCAAUAUGACUGAAGCACUCAGAAUAUGAGAAAUACUGAAUCAGAUAAUUUUUGAUGCGAGUAGCUUUUUUUUAUUUGCAUCUGGUAUACUAUAAAUGAUGUAUUGUAGAAAACAGACACAAAAUAUGAACUUCAAAGAACUCAUUUUUCAAACCUUCUGGAUUAUAAUUUAUCCAAAUGAAUUGAAGUCAAUAUACUUUGAAUUUUCUUAUUCCUACUCUUAUUUUUACUUUUGUAUCCUGUCAAAUAUGCUUCAGCCCAAAAACAAAGGGGUUCGUGUACUACUAGACCUUGAUGAAUAUGGUCUUUUCCCAUGGCAAAGUAUUACAUAAGGAUUUAAAAAGAACAGCUAAGCAUGUAGAAUAUUCAUUACAGUUGACUGUGAAAUUCCCUAAUGUGCACAAAAAAACCUGCUACCUACCCAAUUCAGUUAAAUCACCCUACAUUUUGUAGAAGAUAUCAAAAAAAAAAAAAAAAAAAAUCUAACCAAUUUCAUAAAAAGAAUAAUAGCAAGAAAAAAAAAUAGCAUUAGCCCAUGCUACUGACAUUCAUCAUUUUAACCAAGUUAGAAGCAGAAGAGAAAAUUCAGUGAAUUACCAUAACAAUAUAAAGAAUUAUAAGUAGAGAAAGAUUUUUUAUGGUAAUGUGUGAGCAACAUGUUGUGUAUUUCAAUCUUUUCCCUACAGGCAUUUUUGGAGUUUUUUUGGUCAAUGAUAACAAAAUAGUUCACCAAUUACCAGGUCAAUCCCAAAAUUAAAAAAAAAAAAAAAAAUGGUAUUGAUAUUUAGCUCUGUCUUUAUGUUAUGGGAAAAGAUAUGGAAAUUGCAUAUCUUUGGUACAUUUCCAAUGCUCUAAAAAAAAAAAAAAAAAAAAAAUGUUAUCUAAUGCUCAGUAAUGUGGAACCCUGCUCUCUCUUCCUCUCCCUGCUUGCUCACAUAUGCCACAACUUGUUCCCACCUUUGUGACUAAAACCGAAGAAGUGUACUUAUAGAUGCAUUCUGCCACUUUCAUUCUCGGAAUUCCCUUGCAGGAAUAUUGUCCUUUCUGUCCAAGUGAAACUGAGGCCUUACAAGCACCAUAAAAUGUUUUCCAUGCCACAGUUUAAUUUGAUUUCAAGACUGUCAUUUCUGAUAGAAGGAACAAGAUAGAACAUUUCUAGUAGUUUAAUGAGGGGGAACACUACCUUUCCUUCUUAAAGUUUUAGUCAAAAAUCACCUCUAACUCCUGCUACAAUAUUUAUUUUUAUAUUUUUUGUUUGAAAAGCUUUUACAAGGUAAGAGAAAUCUACACAAUUCAGAAGUCCUUUACUUUUGCCAGUCUGCUUACAGGUUAAAGCAUUACACAGAAACCUCACAAUCUGAACUUGAUAAUCUUUUCAAAUGAUACACUAAAACCAUCACCCAGUUUCAUUAGGUAGUGCACACGCUGAGUUCUUGACUCACCUACUGCCUGCAGCAGCUGUUGCCCAGUGACUGAAUUAGUUACUGGGAGAAUAAAGACACCUGGGACAAAGGCACUUCCUUUUCCAUUCUGAGGUUCCUCACUGUGGUGCCAUGGCAAGGCUAGUGCAAGGUUAUUUUGAUUCUGAAUCUGGCAAUUGCAUUAGUCCCUACACAAAAGAGACAAAGAGCUGAGAGCAUAGUACUUAUGAGUGACAGCAAGUGUAAUGAUCAGUGUAAAAGCUAUUCUCCUUAUUUCACUCUUAAAACUUCAUCGUUUGUCCACACUUUUCUUAAAAGUGUAUGUUUUCUUGAGUAAUUGACACACUGUUGGAAAGUUUUUCAAGAUCGAGUGAACUAAACCAACUAAAAUGAAUCCUAUCCUAUGAAGGUUUCACUAAGAUUGCAAGAAUACUCAUGUUCUGAAAAUUAUCAAAAGUUAAAAAGGAAACCAAUCCUAGUUUAUACAAAUUAAUGCCAUUUUAAAGCCUAUGUUCAAGACUAAGGCCACAGUGACAACAGAUGUGUCAAAUUUUCAGCUGAUUUUAAUCAGUAAAAUUCUCUGGGUUCCAAUAGAGUUUUUCUGAUUAAAAGCAGCUGAGAAUCUGGACCAAUUAUUUACAAAUAAAUUAUUCAUGAAAUAAUGGGGGAAAUUGCAAAUAAAUAAUGUUACUGAUAUGGCCUGGACACUAUUUUUACAAAAACAGAAUUUGAUAAUUAAUUGACAAAAAAAAAUCAGUUGUCAUUACUAUUCAUCCCAUGAAAAAAAGACUUGGUAUACUGUAAUAACGUGAUAACAGUGACUGCAGAAUUGUUUAUUGGAUAAUUGCAAGCUAUAGGAGUGGAAAGCAUGUGUAUAGCUUACUCUGAGAUAGAAGCUCUUUUGUUAAUUAUAUUGCUAUUACAAGUCUACUAAUCACGCUAAUAUGAAACAAAGAUCAGUUUGACUCCAAAUAUCCAAAUAAAGUAUUUCAGAGUAGAUUAUGGAACAAAUCUUGACAAAUCUUGCAAGUGGCGGAACCGAUUUGAACAUGUGCCUCUGAAAAACAUCACUUGUUUAUACCUGAGAAUAGUGAGAGAAAAUAGAGAGGAAUCAUAGUAUUGGAUACAUAAGCUAUUACUGGGUUCCAAAAACAACGCAGUACGCUAUUCCUAACAUCAGGCUCAGCAUCAACAGAGGAAACAAGCUGGAAAUUUGAAAUUAGUUAAACUUGCCGUGUUUCAACUGCAUCCUGGAUAUGUCCCAAGUAAGUAUAAACAAAUUUAAAUAUACUGAAUAAACAUCUGGACCAUUAAUAUUGUCAUAUAUAAUCAAAUGAGAAAACCAUUGCUUAGACUCAGUCAACUUUCCCAGGUACUAGGAACACUAGAAAAAACAGUCUUAAUUGUGCAAGCCAACAUAUGUCAAGCAUUACCAUAUUACCAAAUUAUUUAACAUAGCAAUUAAAAAUUCUCCCAGAGAACAUCACUAUUAAAAGCAAGGAGUUCAGUUCCCGUAGCUAUCUGUGCUUGGUAUUUAUUUUUUUAGAUUUCAUUAGCUUCUGAAUGCAUCAACAACUUUACUACUGUGGAAGACUCACAGAGCUUUAGGCCCUGAAGUUUGUUUUCAGUUCAAUAUUCAGCCAAAAUAGACAAAUUGAAGUCUCAUAUCUUCUGCUAAUGUAGUAAUAGGGGUAGCUGAGACCCAGCAUCAGCAGAAUCCAACAUUUUUCAUAAAUUCUUCAUAUCUGACAGUACUGAAUGUUUUUACUUGGUACAUCACUAUUCCCCUUCCCUUUGCUCUCUUCCAUUCCAUGUCUGUCAUCUUUUUCUCAUUGUAUGCCAUAGACCAGCACAAGUCAGACUGUAACUACUAUCUUGUGUUUCAUGCCAACAAGGCUCCCAUUUGCUUGGAAACCAUAGUUCUAGGAGAAAACAGUCUGGGAAAAAAAAAAAAAGACUUGCAUCUUCCUUCCAUUGCUGGCCUACGUUUAUAACAUCCUUCUAUCACUCUCAGUAAAACUGUAAAAAAAUUUUCUGUCAAGAAAACCAAACUAGAGGCAUUAUCUUUCCUGGUUAAGCUGAUAAAUUCUUUCCUGUCCUCAAUAGUCUUCAAAAGUCUGCACCAACACAGUGAGGUGUUAGUGCAAGUCUUGGGCUCAUGUCUCAUGGACAAGUUUGAAAAGAGGGCAAGUAAUUUUGUUCAAAAUUAUUGCUCGUAUUUCUUCUGUUUGGAUUACAAUUCUGCAGGGAUUUCUCUUUAAAUUGCAGGAAGGAUACUUGACAUUUUUUGUGAAAGGGAAAACAUUGCUCUGUCAGUUCUUUCUUUCUCCUUCCCUUCUAUUAUAUGUAUAUAUGUGAGCGCAAAAUGUAGUCAACUAAUCCUGACUACAAAAAUGUUGAAGUGUAACUACUCUUUUUUGUAUUCUGUCAAAUACUGAAUGCUAAAACUGUGGUUGUUUGGGGACCAGAGCAUCAUCCUUUGUGUUUUAUAGCAACCCACAUAAUAGAAAACGUGAGCGUAACUGCUUCCAUUUCAGCAGAAUUACAUUUUGUCUUCAGUGGUGCAAAUAGCAUUGCAGUCCAGGGUAGGAUUAGAAAGGUGCUUAUCCACUGAAUGCGCUUUCUGUUGCUUUGGCAUUAUGUAAUUCUAAGUCUCUCACAAAUCACUUUCAGUUAAGUAGGGGGAAAAAUAUGCAUCACUGUAUUUCUGUCCUUGCUCAAAUUGGCUGCAGUGCAAAUCAGAGGAACCAACUGCAGAAAGAUACACUAAAUGUAAAGACAAUAUGGAAUCUAAAAAAGAGCACAAGCAUAAUUUGAAGACUGCUAGGUUAAAAAACAGAAUGAUAAAAUCCUAAUAAGCUCUCAGACACCUAGUAGUCCACAGGGCUUGAGUUUUCCCCAGAAAACUUGUGAAGGCUAAUUUCUCUGCAGAUACGGAACUGCCAUCUUGAAGUAAAAUCUGGUAAGGAUAUAAUAACAGCGUCUAUCGAAUACACGCACUGUCAGUUUUAUUUACGAAUGUGCGUGGAAGAGAUAACAAUGCCCACUUGUGGUAUCCGAGUUCAGAAGGCUGACUGUCCUCAGUGGGGUAUGCAGAUCGCUGGGAGUCCAUAGAAGUCAGGAAGAGAAAAGAGAGAAAAAAGAAGAAAAAAAGAAUUCGAUACCUCUUGCUGAAUCUAGCAUUUAUGUAUAGAAGGACGACAGAUUUCAAGGUAAGGGAGAGGCAAGAGUAAAGCUCUGCAAGUGUGCCUGGCUUCCUAAUGUAGCGAUGUGUAGCUGAAGGGGGAUUUCAGGGUAUUGCUCUCUGCAAACAUGCUCAUGCCUUUUCUUUUCAUUUUAAAGGUAAUUAUAUAAAAUUUUGCUGAAAUAUAACACUCCCAGUAAAGUCUUUUAAAUAUGAGUGUGUGUGUGUGUUCACUCUACUGCCCAGAGUUAAAACUGACAAAUCUGGGGCCUCUGUAAGGAAAAGCGUUUCUCUGCCACAUUCUGUAUAUAGCCAGCAGCUCCUGAGCCACAGCUCUUUCCUUCCAAAGACCAAAUAUGAUUUUACCAGGGAGACUGUGUUGUGUUUUCUCAGCUGUAUUGCUUAUUUCACACAUUUUUUUUAUUGCUAAUUCUGCCCAAUUGAGGGAGCAGAGAGUCUAGCUUGUGGCCUUUCUCAGAGUGCUCCAACAAAUCAAACUGCUAUGACCACUGCUGAAAAAAAGAGGUCUUAGGUGGUCAAGAAACUGUGAUGACAGAGAACCAAACAUAAGAUUCAUGUCUUUUUAGUUUGGACUGGAAGUGACAUUAGAGAGCUGUUCCCAGGGCUUGCAAAGAAAGCUACUCAUGCAGAAAGGUUGUGUUUAUGUUCAGUGCGGUCAAAAUCUUUAAGACAGCUAACUUUAUGCCUCCAGAGUUGUCUACAAAAACAAAUCUGUAUUCUUUUAGCAUGACUUACACUUUAAAAAUAUCUAUUGUAAUGUGCUUCUCUUUUUCAAGACAUGAUAUCAUAGUAUGGUUGUUAUCACUACAAAGUUUAGCACAGGAUAGUGUUUGAGAGGAACCAACAUGGCCUUGCAUUCAGAAAAAGGGAACUCUGAGGCUCAUAAGAUUUCUGAUAUCAUACAGGCAUAUAUCUGCGUUCUCUAUAUUUUCAAUGCAAAUUAUAUUCUCAUUACUUUUUAAUGGAAGUUUUCCAAUAAGCUUGAUUUGUUUUUUUUUAACUUAUGUUGUCAUGCUCAAUCUCUGCAUGGUAUUUCUUCAUUUGUGAGCAAUUCAUACACAAUAUUCCUCAGGUCUUUUUUUAGGUAUCCAAAUGAUGAAAAGCUGAGCCCCUCUGUGGGAAGUUGAAAUGAUACUCUCAAGGUCAUUUCAUCCAAAUGACAAUCUUCUUUUUACUCUCCUAAGCUGGCUGCAAAUGCAUUACACAUGUUAGUCAUAAAGUCAAACCCACUGUUUACACGAGAAAGUAGAAGUUGGGGUAAUGCUGUUUUGCACCUGUUGUUAUUCUUGUCCAGUAAGAAAAACUAUGUGUGAAAUACAUUGCUGUGUUUUCCUAAUGAUUUGCAGAAGAGUAAGAGCUUUGCUUAACAAUGGCUGUUUUUUUUCUUCUAAGCAAGGCUUCUGACAUCAUCCUAAAGCAUCUACAGGCAUAAAUUUUUAAGAACAUAAAAAGUUUAUGAGGAUGUGGAAUCACGGAGAAAGAGUCCGGGAUUUUUGUGAAAACAGCAAAAGAAAAAUGUAAAAAGCUAGGCUACGGCACAUACCAGAGGCUGAAGGCUGACUAACAUAAAUCCCAUACAUAUGUAGUAGGAAGUAAUACCAAGAGGAAACUGGAAGGCCUAAUUAAAUGAAGCUCAUACCUGAUGAAUGUUCCUGAUGGCACUGGAAUAAUGCAGCAGAAAUGAAGCAGUACACAACAUGGAUCUUGAUUUUAGAAAGGCUUCCUAUACUGUACAAACAAGUCAAAUUCCAUAAUCUAGCUGCUGAGGUAAUAGUGUGCAGCCGCCAACAGCAGACUGCUAAUUAUUAUUUUUUUAAUUUACCUGGUUGGAAUAAGGUAAAAAUCCAGAAAGGUAUAAAGAUUCAUCACUAAAAUUUAGGUGCAUCAUUUCUAUAUCAAUUUAAAUUUAGAAGGCUAAGAAAUAUGUAAUCUAAGUGGUUCUCUGGAUAUUGGUUUGUGGUUGAACCUUUAUUGGGGUAAAACUCAGCACAUGGUAGGUGUGGCCACCUGAACUUUUUCCAUUGUUUCAUCCUUGAAAAUUUGGGUUAUAGCUGUUUGAUUUAUAAGAAAACAUUGUGUUUGAAAAGGAUAAUUUUCAAACAAAAGAAGAAAGUAGCAAUUUUUCCAGUAAAAAAUUUCUGAUAGGAUCAAUAUAGCAGAGGUGGAAGUAGCUUGGUUCAGCUUUAGGCAUUCAGCUUAAUCUGAAGAGUUUUUAUUUUAGCAAAUCUAUCUACUCACCUGCUGGCUUAUCUAAAAGUCUGCUGGGGUGUCUGUGCAUCUCUUGGCAUAUCUGUAUAAUGGUAAUAAACAUAAUGGAACAGUUCUGGCAUCCUACUCAAUAACAGAGUGAGAAGAAAACUCCAAGAAAAGACAAAAUCCUGCUGAAAACCAGCCACCGAGAAAACUCCAUAUAUGACAGCCAACAUUACACUCCUGACUACAAAAUUCAGAGACCUAUGCAUUUUAACCUGUAAUCACAACCUUUGAUCACAAGGCGUCUCAUGUUCAACAUUCCUUUCAAGGCUCCUUGAUGCUGUAAGAAACACCUGCAAGCAAUCAGCUGGUGCUCUGGAGAAUGCUUUCAGUUCCAGGACAGAAAACGUAAAGAAACAUGAACAUUACAUGAAAAGCUUAUGUGGACAUUUUAUAUAUUUGUAGGUAUCUGCCUCUUCUCCCGAAGCCUUUAGAAGCUGUACUUCGUAGUGGAAAGGUAGUAGCCAAAGGCCCUGCAAACCGUCAUGUGUUUUUCUCUUCCACUUGCCAGUUGAUUGACUUAGAAAGGAGACACCACCACUCAGAGCCUUCCUCAGUUUGUGAGUCACUCUCUCCUCUCCCACCAGGCAGCUGGGAUCAGCAGACAUUAGGUAAUUAGCAGCGUUGACAGAAAACCUGCUGAAGCUGGACCACCAUGCUGUAGUUUCUCAGAGAAAGAAUUAUUCCUAACUCUGUAACAGGAUGAAAUGGAAAUUCUCUGGAGAAGAUGCUGGGAGCAACACUUGUCUUUUUGCAUUAGGAAGCACUCGAACAAAAUGUUGUGACAGCCAGGCCGAGUUCCUGAGAUUUAUUUUUUUCUGAGGACUAUCUGUCUGCACUGGUUUCUGGAGAGGCUCAUUUCAUCUCCAUCAGGGAGGACAGAAGAGUGCUCAAGUACUUCAGUCUGGCUUGAUGCAACCAAGACAUCAAACUCACGCUCAGGUUUCAGCCUCAGAGGUCGGAACUAAAAGCAGCUGAGAAUCCAGAUCUUCAUCUUCCGAAGAUAACUGAGCACAUUUCUCCUCCCCAGGAUGCUGGAUAAUCUGUUUGUGACCACGGAGCUGGCAAGUCUUAUCAGUCAGCCUUAUCAGCAUCUUUUAGGCUACCCUGAGCAUAUGCAGUAGCAAAGGGCCAUUCAGGAAGAGCUGCAGAGAUUUGUAUGUUGUGACUCCUAAACAGCCCCGGUCUCCCAGCCCAGUCAAGGUGGUCAUGCACAGAAUUUUAAACACCAGAGAUACUGAGGAGCAUAGGUGUGAAGAACACGCCGUAUUAUUCUCUUAAAAAUCAGUGUUUUAAAUGUGGCCUAAUGUAUUCCUAAGAUAUUUGUGUUCUUGUGUUGUUGCUUCAAAAUAUAGUGAAAAUAACAGGCAAAGAAAUAUAUAUGUGGGAUUGAUUAAACAUUCAAGAUGAAAUUCUGUGCUCUUGAUCAGUUUUCCUGAUAGUUCUAUAUCUCUUGCAAUUCUUUAAUUUAUCCCUUCAUGAUACAUGUCAGCAGAACUACGUGGAGAUUUUGUUCUGCUCUUUAUUACUCCAAGGUCAAAAUCUAUGAAGUAAGAUAAAUAAUUUAGUGAUUUUGCCCUUUAUACUGAGAGAUGUUAACAGGUACAAUGCAGCCAGGAACAUCUUCAAUUAUUUAAUUCACACAGUCAAAUGAAAGGAACACUGCUGAAACACUUGCCUAAAUUAUAUCUGUAUUUAUUUAAGAUGUUUUGCUAUCAAGCAGUGUUAAAAGCAGUAUGAGUCUUAUUAAAACAACUACUUUUAUCUUGGCAAUCUUCCUUCUCUACUAACACCCUUUAAUGGUUUAUUGAAGGGCUUCCCCUGUCAGGUAAAAAAAAGUCCCAAAGUUACCUGCUUUACCGUCCAUAUUUUCAUCAUCCGUAUUAAAUAAUGCAAUCACCACAAGCAUUAUAAAUUGUAAGAAUCAAUGCUGAGCAGGGACGGCAGUCCAGCCCUAAAGCCAAGGCUGUAUUCCAACAGUUUCAGUAUAGAACUUCUGGCUGGGGCACAGAUGUUCAUUUUCAUGCUGUGAUCUCCAUUCUCCUACUCCCCUUCGCCCAGCCGCGGUUGGCACUGCAGACACGUCUUUAUUGUAACUUUGUUCUUGUGUGGAUUGCUUUAACAAGAAUUGGCAAGUCGAGUAUAUGACGGUUGUAAAUUUAGCAGUAAAUAAAAGGCCUUAGGUAACCUUUUCCCCUUUUCUGGGGUUUAUUAUAUAUUGCUUUGAUUAUUUGAUUAAUAUCUAAACAGUAUCAUCUUUGUAACAUGCUGCCACAAAUAUUUGAGGGAGGAUCAUUUCAUCUAGCUGAAAUACCUGCAGACAUGCCCCAGGACAGUCAUCACUACAUGCUAGCCAUUUGUCUGCUCCAGGUGUGGCUUGGUGCUCUCCAUACAGAGCCUGCAGUGCUGGGCCACCUGCUUCUGGCUUGUGAGCACUCUGGGGGUGACAGAGGGCAGGUCUACCAACCUCCGUGCCUCCUGCUGAAAUGGCCACCUGGGAGAGAAGACUGCAAAAUUCCCAAAGACAGAGGAUCGAAGAAAGAAGAGCAUGACUCAAGAGCCGAAUGAAUAACACAGCUGUCUAAAGGAUGGGGAAUAUGGGGACUGCUCCCUGCUACGGAAAUCUUCAUGGCUCCGGAUGGGUUUUUGACCUGAACUGCAAAAGCAAUCCAAGAACGUGGACCCAAAACCUAGGCGUUCUGGUAAAGUCUUCUGAUCAUCAAGGUACAAAAUCCUGCUUUCUCACGUUUGCUGCCACUAGGCCUUUGUCUUGAAGAAACAGGAGCAACUUCUUUGUCUUCUAUAGGUUAGAAGAUGAAAGCUGUCCUAAUCUCUGCUUUCUUUGAUCACUUAUCUAACAAGAACCUGCCACCUACCAGGAUCUUUUAAUAGCAGUGCAAACAGCUCCUAAAGCUGUUGAGGAAUGCUGUUUGCUCCACACCUGUGGAAAUGGAAGGAAUUUGUCAGGAAAAAAACCAAGACAGAAAAUUUUCUACAUUUCAAAGCUGCUUGAAUUUUAUAAUGUUCUCUUUUUACUUUAAAAUAAUGCUUUCGAUAUUUCUGUGGAAUCUUUUGUUUUCCCUUAACAGAAGCAGCCUCCACUCAAUAUUAGUCAAUAUAUAUUAAAUAUAUAUAUAUCAACAAACCAACAAUGUCCAGCUCUGCAAUAUAUGUGUUAUCUCUUUCAAAAUGAAGAAAUAAAUGAUACCGUUUUUCACAUACACGAUCAUUUUCAAAGUUUUCUUUUCUUUUCCCACAAGACUGUACUGUCAUACUGAAAGCUGGUAUAUUCAAGUGCUGAAAUUGAACCUAUGGUAGCAUGGCCAGAAAAAAAUAUAUAUAUAUGUGAGAAAUUAGUAAAUUUCCAUUGCCCUUCUGUAAUAUGGAUAAUCUAAGUAACAUUUUAACAUAAACUGCCCAAUCUGACAUUUAGAAACUGAAUGUUUGUAUGUGUGCAAAAGAGAAACUAAAGUACAUUCUUCCUAAUGUCUGGCUACUUUAUCAGAAGAGCACUUUAUAUCUUUUAAGGAGCUAGCAGGCUAUUACAUAUGACUAAUAUAUCAAAUUCCAAUGCAGCUUUUAUUCAAAGUUUAAUAGAGAUAAUUGUAACAUAAAAGCUACCCUCUAGAUCUUAUAAUUAAAAGGACGAGAGCCUUAGAGUCAUAAGGAAGGUAAAGUUAAUUACUUACUUGUGUGCAGAACAAGUCCAUAAUCUUAAGUGGCAGCCAAUUUAUAGGUUUGAAUUCCUGAAUGCUAAGGUAUUAGGAGAGUCAUUUCAACUUCUUAUGAUAAUUUCUUCAUAUAAUUAUGAUUAGACCAUUAGAUAUCAUUUAAUUUACUAUGCCACUUCCCAACACGGCCCUUUCUCUAUGGUUUUAUUUACCAGAGCAAAGAUUUCAGGCACUAAUAUUGUCUGAAAGCUUACAGUAAAUCUAAGCAACAGAGAUGUUUUACAGUCAGCGGUAGCAGAAAACAAAAAGUGUGAGUACUGAGAUACUUUUUAGUAAAUACAAAAUUUGGUGAAGAAUUUUUUCUUAUUCUGCAAUAUUAGCUUUACUCUGUGUAUACUCUAUGGAUAAAGUUAAGAUUGAAAUUAAAAAUAAAUACAUGUGGUUUUGACAGAAACUGAAUCACAAGCCAGAUAUGGAAAAACUAUCUAUCUGUGGUGGAUUUUUUGAGCAUGAUAAAAAAAUCUUGCUCAUGUCUUAGCAGUCAUAAUACAACCAGA